rnacentral:lncRNA from 1 species
AAUUCCGCCCGAUUCCCAUAUAUUUGUGUGCCAUAGCCAACGCCUUCCGAGUGGGUCCAGUCUCCCCGGACCCCGAUCGCCUAAAAUUAUUCCGAGCCAUCAAAUACGACCAAAGGAACCAUAGUCACUGCCCAACCGUGGUCGUUCCUCGUUGUUUUGCAUUUUACGGCAAAAAACUAGAAUUUCGCCCGAUUUCCAUAUUUUCGUGUGCCAUAGCCCAUGCCUUCCGAGUGGGUCCAGGCCCCCGGACCCCGAUCGCCUAAAAUUAUUCGGGGCCAUCAAAUACGACCUAAGGAACCAUAGUCACCGCCCCUCCAUGGCCGUUCCUCGUUGUUUUGCAUUUUACGGCCAAAAAACUAGAAUUCCGCCUGAUUCCCAUAUUUUCGUGUGCUAUACCCACGCCUUCCGAGUGGGUCCGGGACCCCGGACCCCGAUCACCUAAAAUUAUUCUGGGACAUCAAAUAUGACCUAAGGAACCAUAGUCACCUCCCCGCCAUGGCCGUUCCUCGUUAAUUUGCGUUUUACGGCCAAAAAACUAGAAUU